CGGGCGAGGCACGGACGAAUCGGCAAAGGCUGGCACUGAACAAACCGAUAUGACAUAGGCGCUGUGGACUUUUAAUCCAUAGGUUCCGGGUUCGAGCCCCGGGCGCCCUACCA
rnacentral:tRNA from 1 species